rnacentral:rRNA from 1 species
CGCGUAGGCGGCCGAUCAAGUCGGAGGUGAAAUCCCUCGGCUCAACUGAGGAAUUGCCUUCGAUACUGUUCGGCUUGAGUCCUGGAGAGGGUAGCGGAAUUCCCGGUGUAGCGGUGAAAUGCGUAGAGACCGGGAAGAACACCAGUGGCGAAGGCGGCUACCUGGACAGGUACUGACGCUGAAGCGCGAAAGUGGAGGGCGAACAA